UUGAUAGCUCACGGAAUCAUUAAAACACCAAGAUGAAAUUAUUCAAGAUAAUGGUUAUGCUUAUGCUGAUUCUUGCCUUCAAUAUGAUGGGUGUAUAUAAUGUCGCAAUGAUAGAAGAAAGAAGAGCCGGACCAAAUGACGAGUGGUAUUGCUGUAGGAAAAAUAAGGUCGAAUGUUUGGAAUGGUGCAGGUGAUGGGGACAGGUGGACGCCAAUCCGAUCGGAAGACGAAAAAACAAAUUUAAUAUAAAUCACUUUGAAAUUAAAAAAAUUAAGAAACAG